rnacentral:rRNA from 1 species
GAUGAACGCUGGCGGCGUGCUUAACACAUGCAAGUCGAACGGUGAAGGCGGAGCUUGCUCUGCUGGAUCAGUGGCGAACGGGUGAGUAACACGUGAGCAAUCUGCCCCUGACUCUGGGAUAAGCGCUGGAAACGGCGUCUAAUACUGGAUACGAGCUGCGAAGGCAUCUUCAGCAGCUGGAAAGAACUUCGGUCAGGGAUGAGCUCGCGGCCUAUCAGCUUGUUGGUGAGGUAACGGCUCACCAAGGCGUCGACGGGUAGCCGGCCUGAGAGGGUGACCGGCCACACUAGGACGGGGACACGACCCAGACUCGUACGGGAGGGAACGGUGGAGAAUAGUACACAAUGGGCGAGAGCCUGAUGCAGCAACGCCGCGUGGGGGACGACGGCCUGCGGGUUGUAAACCUCUGUUAGCAGGGAAGGAGCGAAAGUGACGGUACCUGCAGAAAAAGCGCCGGCUAACUACGUG